rnacentral:rRNA from 1 species
UACGUAGGGUGCAAGCGUUGUCCGGAAUUAUUGGGCGUAAAGAGCUCGUAGGCGGCUUGUCGCGUCGACUGUGAAAACCUGGGGCUUAACUCCGGGCCUGCAGUCGAUACGGGCAAGCUAGAGUUCGGUAGGGGAGACUGGAAUUCCUGGUGUAGCGGUGAAAUGCGCAGAUAUCGGGAGGAACACCGGUGGCGAAGGCGGUUCUCUGGGCCUUACCUGACGCUGAGGAGCGAAAGCGUGGGGAGCGAACAGG